rnacentral:rRNA from 1 species
UACGUAGGGGGCAAGCGUUGUCCGGAUUUAUUGGGCGUAAAGAGCGUGUAGGCGGUUUGGUAGGUCCGUUGUGAAAACUCGAGGCUCAACCUCGAGACGCCGAUGGAAACCAUCAGACUAGAGUCCGGAAGAGGAGAGUGGAAUUCCCGGUGUAGCGGUGAAAUGCGCAGAUAUCGGGAAGAACACCCGUGGCUAAGGCGGCUCUCUAGUACGGUACUGACGCUGAGACGCGAAAGCGUGGGGAGCGAACAGG